AUGGCGCCGGGGUUCGCCAAGUUUGAUUUGGAGAAAUUCGAUGGCACGGGUAACUUCGGUCUAUGGCAGACAAGAGUCAAGGAUAUUCUGGCGCAGCAGGGAAUCUUGAAGGGUUUGCAGGAGACGAAGCCGGCCAAGGUUGACAAUGAUGUGUGGGAGGAUAUGCAAGUGCAGGCGGCCGCUACCAUACGGCUUUGUCUUGCGGAUCAGGUCAUGUAUCAUGUCAUGGACGAAGAUACUCCUAAGGAAAUUUGGGAUAAGUUGGCAAAUCGUUAUAUGUCCAAGUCAGCGACCAAUAAGCUGUAUUUGAAGCAAAAGUUCUAUGGGCUGAAGAUGCAGGAGGGGUCGGAUCUUGUGGAGCAUGUGAACGCCUUUAAUCAAUUUGCCACGGAUCUAGCGCGUCUGGAUGUGAAGAUUGAUGAUGAGGAUAAGGCACUACUUCUUCUUGUUUCGUUGCCACCGUCCUAUGAGCAUUUGGUCAUUACAUUGACACAUGGAAAGACAACCAUCAAUAAUGAGGAAGUCACUGCAGCGUUACUUGGACAUGAGUUGAUGAAGCAAAAAAAUGCUGUAGAAAGGGAGAGUACUCAAGGUUUGGGGUUGACAGUUAAAGGUUAUCAGCUCAGGAAGGGACAAGAGGCGGAGAAGAAAAAGAAGAAAAAGGUGCAGUGCUACAGGUGCAAGGAUUGGGGACAUAUAAAGAGGGAAUGCCCAGAACUGAUGGGUGGGGCAAGUGCUAAUGCGGCUACUCAUGGUGAUGACUCAGACAGCAGUAGUGAUGUUCUCGUAGUAUCAAACAUGCGGUCAACAAAAACUGAAGCGUGGAUGUUGGAUUCAGCUUGCUCUUUUCAUGCGACGCCCAACAGGGAGUGGUUCUCUUCGUACAAGUCUGGUGAGUUUGGUUUAGCCUAUGUGGGCGAUGACACAGGUUAUCGUGUUGCUGGAGUAGGUGACAUCAAAAUCAAGAUGUUUGACGGAGUUGAGCGGAUGCUUCGGGGAGUCAGGCAUGUGCCAGGGCUAAGGAGGAAUUUAAUUUCACUUGGUGUUCUUCAUGAUGGUGGUAUGGAAUUCCGUUGUGAUCGGGAUACGAAGACCAUGAAAAUCAUGGAAGGUGGGGCGACCGUGAUGAUAGGAGAGAGGACGGCUUCGCAUCUUUACAAGUUGCAAGGGAGCACUAUUGCAGGUGGA
rnacentral:rRNA from 1 species